rnacentral:rRNA from 7 species
UUACCAUGCAGUCGAACGAUGAAGCCCAGCUUGCUGGGUGGAUUAGUGGCGAACGGGUGAGUAACACGUGAGCAACCUGCCCCUGACUCUGGGAUAAGCGCUGGAAACGGCGUCUAAUACUGGAUAUGUCCCGUCACCGCAUGGUGUGCGGGUGGAAAGAUUUUUCGGUUGGGGAUGGGCUCGCGGCCUAUCAGCUUGUUGGUGAGGUAAUGGCUCACCAAGGCGUCGACGGGUAGCCGGCCUGAGAGGGUGACCGGCCACACUGGGACUGAGACACGGCCCAGACUCCUACGGGAGGCAGCAGUGGGGAAUAUUGCACAAUGGGCGAAAGCCUGAUGCAGCAACGCCGCGUGAGGGAUGACGGCCUUCGGGUUGUAAACCUCUUUUAGCAGGGAAGAAGCGAAAGUGACGGUACCUGCAGAAAAAGCACCGGCUAACUACGUGCCAGCAGCCGCGGUAAUACGUAGGGUGCAAGCGUUAUCCGGAAUUAUUGGGCGUAAAGAGCUCGUAGGCGGUCUGUCGCGUCUGCUGUGAAAUCCCGAGGCUCAACCUCGGGCUUGCAGUGGGUACGGGCAGACUAGAGUGCGGUAGGGGAGAUUGGAAUUCCUGGUGUAGCGGUGGAAUGCGCAGAUAUCAGGAGGAACACCGAUGGCGAAGGCAGAUCUCUGGGCCGUAACUGACGCUGAGGAGCGAAAGGGUGGGGAGCAAACAGGCUUAGAUACCCUGGUAGUCCACCCCGUAAACGUUGGGAACUAGUUGUGGGGUCCUUUCCACGGAUUCCGUGACGCAGCUAACGCAUUAAGUUCCCCGCCUGGGGAGUACGGCCGCAAGGCUAAAACUCAAAGGAAUUGACGGGGACCCGCACAAGCGGCGGAGCAUGCGGAUUAAUUCGAUGCAACGCGAAGAACCUUACCAAGGCUUGACAUACACGAGAACGGGCCAGAAAUGGUCAACUCUUUGGACACUCGUGAACAGGUGGUGCAUGGUUGUCGUCAGCUCGUGUCGUGAGAUGUUGGGUUAAGUCCCGCAACGAGCGCAACCCUCGUUCUAUGUUGCCAGCACGUAAUGGUGGGAACUCAUGGGAUACUGCCGGGGUCAACUCGGAGGAAGGUGGGGAUGACGUCAAAUCAUCAUGCCCCUUAUGUCUUGGGCUUCACGCAUGCUACAAUGGCCGGUACAAUGGGCUGCGAUACCGUAAGGUGGAGCGAAUCCCAAAAAGCCGGUCCCAGUUCGGAUUGAGGUCUGCAACUCGACCUCAUGAAGUCGGAGUCGCUAGUAAUCGCAGAUCAGCAAC